GAUGAACGCUGGCGGCGUGCCUAAUACAUGCAAGUCGAGCGAACAGACGAGGAGCUUGCUCCUCUGACGUUAGCGGCGGACGGGUGAGUAACACGUGGAUAACCUACCUAUAAGACUGGGAUAACUUCGGGAAACCGGAUCUAAUACCGGAUAAUAUAUUGAACCGCAUGGUUCAAUAGUGAAAGACGGUUUUGCUGUCACUUAUAGAUGGUUCCGCGCCGCAUUAGCUAGUUGGUAAGGUAACGGCUUACCAAGGCAACGAUGCGUAGCCGACCUGAGAGGGUGAUCAGCCACACUGGAACUGAGACACGGUCCAGACUCCUACGGGAGGCAGCAGUAGGGAAUCUUCCGCAAUGGGCGAAAGCCUGACGCAGCAACGCCGCGUGAGUGAUGAAGGUCUUCGGAUCGUAAAGCUCUGUUAUUAGGGAAGAACAAAUGUGUAAGUAACUAUGCCCGUCUUGACGGUACCUAAUCAGAAAGCCACGGCUAACUACGUG
rnacentral:rRNA from 1 species